UCCGAGCAAAGACUGUAAAGUCAAUUUUCUCAUAUUUCAUUACUGAGGAGUUGAAUUUGUUUCAGACUAAGAUGGGAAACAGCACGAGAGAGGGACUGAGAGUUGUUGUGAUAUAAAAAGCUCAAUACCCAGGAGCUGUGAAACAACCUGGCAUCUUCUCCAACGGUAAUUAUUUUGGGACGUUUUCAAAGGGACAGUGACACAUUUUCUGUCUGCAUCAUAAAGACUGUCCAGCCACUGAACACGACCCAGUGAUUUGCAUCCCUCUUCCAAAAUGUUUUAAUUCUUGCAGCUCUCUGUUCUGGAUGAACACGGUCAAACAAAGGCCACAGAGGCCAACUUUCCCUUCUGUGGCAUACGUGAUUCCAAAAAUACCAUGUCAAAAACAUUUCCACCUGCUAGGAUAUGAAGUGGGGUUGUGUGUCCCAGAAGAGUGAAGAGGAGCGCGUUGAGGGGCCUUUUCCAAACCUGUGCCACCCCCGCUGCCACCUCUACCCCAGGCAAGCUGCCAGAGCAGCUCAAGGCUCAGAGCUGCACUGAGUCGCCAUGGCAAGGCUUAAUGUUCCAGGUUCUUCUGCCCUCAGGGCAUCCUCCCAUACACAACCCAACAAACAAAAACACACUUUGAGAGCUGCACGUCUGCCUCUGUCUGGGCAGGGCAAGGUCCUCCAAACUCUUAAAAUGCUCCACUUGGCUUUGCUCUCCUUGUCUCACAAAACCGGGAUAAUUCAAACAGACUGAAUGUCCAAAUUUAAAAAUGCUAAUAACUCUAAUAUGAUCCUUGUCAGAUGUGAUGUGAGUGUAAAUUCAUAAUAAUAAACAUGCUGCUUACAAUCCCAAUCUAUGCAUCCACAAAAUAAAUGUAUAGUUAACAAACA